AGCAGCCGCGGUAAUUCCAGCUCCAAUAGCGUAUAUUAAAGUUGUUGCAGUUAAAAAGCUCGUAGUUGAAUUUCGGGAUCAAUAUGUCGGUCGUGCCAUCGGUACGUACUGGUAUCAUUGGUUUCUCCUUUCUGACGAACCAUGAUGUCAUUAAUUUGGUGUUAUGGGAAGUUAGGACUGUUACUUUGAAAAAAUUAGAGUGUUUAAAGCAGGCUUUGGCUUGAAUACAUUAGCAUGGAAUAAUGAAAUAGGACGUUCGAACCUAUUUUGUUGGUUUCUAGGAUCAACGUAAUGAUUAAUAGGGAUAGUUGGGGCAUUAGUAUUCAAUUGUCAGAGGUGAAAUUCUUGGAUUUAUUGAAGACUAACUACUGCGAAAGCAUUUGCCAAGGAUGUUUCAUUAAUCAAGAACGAAAGUUAGGGAUCGAAGACGAUCAGAUACCGUCGUAGU
rnacentral:rRNA from 1 species